CAGAGCAACUGGAUCAGGAGAAUGGAGGGAGAAGCAAGGAGCAGAGAGCAGAGGUCUGCUCCCCUAGAGUAAGUUGCUACAUAAAGGUGUGUGCUCCUUGUCCCUGGAAGUAUGCAAGCAGAAGCUGUAUGUUCAUAAUGGCCAGAUCAUAACCAAUCCGUUACAGCCCUUCAGGCUAUAGAAUGCUUUCACAAACACCCCUCCUUUGAUCCUCACAGCAACCUCUGAAGGGCAGGUUCCAUCUAUGUGAUUGUUUCCUCAUGACAAACUUGAAAAAGAAGAGGGGAAGGAGUCUAAAGAAACUCUUCAGGUUUGUGAGGAUCAAAUGAAAUUAUGUACAUAAAAGCAACUAACACGUGUGGUGUGCUCCCUUCGUCUUACGUAAAAACAUGUAAGGAAACAUUUGUUUCAUUUGUACUGUAUACCUAGCACUUUUCAUACAUUCCAUUUAACAGUGACCAAGUCACAACAACCAUGUGAGAGAGGCAUUAUGACCGCAUUUUAGAUGAGGAACCUGAAGGGGAGUAACUUGAGCAGGUCACACAGCGAGUCAGGGGCAGAGGCAGGAUUAGCACCCGGAUCAGUCCUUAGAGCCAGCUCUUUCCACUCCCCCACAGGGCUUCCCUGAGAACAGAAAACUUACGGAAAAGGUCAACUUCCCUCUCAGCCUGGGCUCUAACCUCAUGUCCUCUUUCCCUCUGGGCCUCUGCACAGGCUGUUCUCUCAGCUGGAGACUUCCUCCCUCCACUCCCUUCCCUUCACCUGGCUAAUUCUACUUAUCAUUCUCCAUCUCCACUCAGGGAUGCCUUCCCUGACUCCCUUCCAACUGGGUUCAGUGCCCCUUCUGAGCUCUCCUAAUGCUCUGUACUUCCCCAUGGGACCCUGCCACACUGCGAGCUCCAGGAAGGCAGGGACUAUGUCUUGUUCACUGACUGGCACAGAAAAGGCUCUCAAUAAAUACUAACUUAAUGUAUUCACUCGACCUUGAACAGGCACUAACUGAGCACCUACUAUGGGCCAGAUCCUGUACUCUUGGGGAGGGGCAGAUAUUAAAUAGAAUAAUCAGGGUGUGGUCAAUAGGGAGCACCUGCCGGAGAUCCCAAGGAGAGUGGAUGGGGUGAGGAGAUCGGGGUAGAGUUAUACCCCCGGCACAUACUGGAUCUCUGUGGGGUCGACUGAAUUCCUUGACCAAAGGCUACAGCUCCUGUCAAAGGGCCCUCCUUAUACAGAUAUUUUGUGCAGGUUCCAAUAAACCUCCCAGCCCUCCGCCUUUAGACCUUGGGGAGGUAAAGUCUCCCUGCUGUUGGUAGCCAUGUGGCUCUGCUCUAUCCCUUGUGGGAGUCCCAAAACACUGUCUUUGCUUUUGUAAAUCCUUCCUUUAUUAGAAUCUCCUUAAGUUACCCCAUCUGAGAGGAUGCCAUCUGUCUCCUGCCAAUACUGAUAGGAAAAAGCUUAGCACGUUUGAAGAACAGAAAGGGCAGUAUGGCUGACUGGGUAAGUGGAGGAGGAGGUGGUAUAGUUAAGACAGGGUCUAGACCUUCAGAUAGGCAGGGACUAGCUCAUUUAGGCCAUUAGGAAUCUCGACGGGUGGAUGGAAGGAAGAGUGGUUGCAUGAAUGAAAGCACACUAGUUAAGAUAAUGCGCGCCUGCCUGAGUAAACCAGUGAACCAACGGAAGGAAUGGUGGGUGAGAGGCCUCCUGCCCUCUAACCGGGCCCCAGCCAGGUGGAUUUGCCGACGACGCAGUCUGUGUUCUCUGCCCGGCAGGACGCUGGAGGGCCCGGUGCCAGAGGAGCCGGAGCUGGAUUGGGGCUCCGAGGCACCGUGCGCGGGGUCCUGCCACGCACAGCGCAUCCUGCAGACCCUGAAUGCGUAUCGGCGGAGCGGCACCCUCACCGACGUGGUGCUGCGUGCCGGUGGCCGCGACUUCCCAUGCCACCGCGCCACGCUUAGCGCGGGCAGCACCUACUUCCGCAGCCUGUUCGCGGCUGGGCAGCCAGAGCGUGGCCUGGCCAUGGUGCCCGUGGUACCCGAGGCACCGGGCCCGGCCGGGACAGCGGUGGCGACGGCGCUGGCCGUGGUGCUCGACUACCUGUACGGAGCGGGCGUGCGGCUGCGCGCGGAGGACGAGGCGGCUGCAGUACUGGCGCUGGCCGAGCGGCUGGGCGUGGCGGGCCUGCGCGAGGCCUGCGCGCGCUUCCUCGAGGGUCGCCUGCGCGCCGCUAACAGCCUGGCGCUGCGUCGCGUGGCCGCUGCCUUCUCCCUCGCCUCUCUGGCCGAGCGUUGCGGCCACGUGCUGCGCCAGGCCUUCGCCGAGGUGGCGCGCCACGCCGACUUCUUGGAGCUGACGCCCGACGAGGUGGCAGCGCUUCUGGCCGACCCAGCGCUGGGCGUGGCGCACGAGGAGGCCGUGUUCGAAGCGGCCAUGCGCUGGGUGCGUCACGACCCGCCAGCCCGCCGCGGACAGCUGCGGCGUUUGCUGGAGCACGUGCGCCUGCCCUUGCUGGCGCCCUCCUAUUUCCUGGAGAAGGUAGAGGCUGACGAGUUGUUGCAGGCCUGUGGCGAGUGCCGCCCGCUGCUGCUAGAGGCCCGUGCCUGCUUCAUCCUGGGCCGCGAGACCGGCACACUGCGGGCCCGGCCGCGGAGAUUCAUGGACCUAGCUGAAGUGAUCGUGGUCAUCGGCGGUUGCGAUCGCAAGGGGCUUCUGAAGCUGCCGUUCGCCGACGCCUACCAUCCCGACAGCCGGCGCUGGACCCCACUGCCCAGCGUGCCCGGCUACGCGCGCUCAGAGUUCGCGACCUGCACUCUCCGCAAUGACAUCUACGUCUCUGGAGGCCACAUCAACAGCCGUGAUGUGUGGAUGUUUAGCUCCCAUCUGCACACCUGGAUCAAGGUGGCCUCGCUGCACAAGGGCAGGUGGAGGCACAAGAUGGCGGUCGUGCAGGGGCAGCUGUUCGUGGUGGGCGGCUUUGACGGCCUGCGGCGCCUGUGCAGUGUGGAACGCUAUGACCCCUUCUCCAACACGUGGGCUGCUGCGGCCCCGCUCCCAGAGGCAGUGAGCUCAGCUGCCGUGGCACCCUGCGCCGGCCGGCUCUACGUGAUGGGGGGCGCCGGGCGGGACGGCGUCAGCAUCAACAAGGUGCAGUGCUUUGAUCCCAAGGAGGACCGGUGGAGCCUGCGGUCACCAGCGCCAUUCUCGCAGCGGUGUCUCGAGGCUGUCUCCCUGGAGGACACCAUCUAUGUGGUUGGGGGCCUCAUGAGCAAAAUCUUCACCUACAAGCCUGGCAUGGAUGUCUGGGGGGAGGCAGCUGUCCUGCCCAGCCCUGUGGAGAGCUGUGGCGUGACUGUGUGUGAUGGGAAAGUCCACAUCCUUGGCGGGCGGGAUGAUCAUGGGGAAAGCACCGACAGGAUCUUCACCUUUGACCCCAGCAGUGGGCAGGUGGAGGCCCAGCCAUCCCUGCAGCGCUGCACCAGCUCCCAUGGCUGCGUCACCAUCAUCCAGAGCCUGGGCAGAAAUAAAACCUCCUUCAAAGGCGGGGUCUGUUCCAGCUCAAGCCUCCUUUGCCUGGAGAAGUAAUGCCCAAUAUCUGCUCCCUGCUUUGACUCUUUACAAAGCACCUUCAUAUGUUACCUCAUUUACCUUCAUAAUAGCAGCGUGGACGUUUUAAAAAAUUAUGAAAUAUUUCAUGCAUAAAAAGAAAUAUAUUUUGUACAGUUUAAUAAUUACAAUAAAAUAAAUAUCUGUGUUCCCAUGACCUAGCUUAAGAAAUAGAUCACUAGCUUAAGAAAUGCCUUUGUAGGCCCCUCUAUUUCCAAAUCCAUCCCUUCGCACAUUCCUCCCAGGAAUUGUCACUAUUCUUAAAUUUCAGAUUAUCGGCACUUAAAAAAAAAACUUUUAGUGAGCUUGUUACUAAUAUCUGUAUUUUACAGAGAAGCAAAUUAUUUUAAAAGAUAGGAGACUCACCCAAGGCCACAUACUUAGUAAGAGGCAAAAUCUAUGACUCAUAGAUUCCAUGAAGCUUUAGAAUCUAUGAGACACUUUUGGCCAGGAUGGUUCUCCCUUUCUAAACCACCCUCUCCAAUUCAAACACCUAUAGCAAUGAUAGAUAAAAUUAAAAGCCAGACAACUGAGGCAUAGGCUUAUAAGUAAGCAAACACGUCUGAGGACCAGAAACAGAAUUGUAAAACAUAAGGCAGAAGCUCAAGCUUCUAAAUUCAGAUUCUGGGAUAAAGGCUUUAAAACCAGGAUGACAAACCAGGAUCACUGCUAGAAGCCUGGGCCAAGGUGGGGAUCCCCCGCUCAUGAAAGAAGCUGAAACAAAACAGAACAGUUGUAGAACCCUGAGCAGCCUCGGGGGUCAAGACUCGCAGUAAACUGGAGGCUCAGAGUAAUGGGCACCAGAGCCACAGGCCUCUAAGACACCAAUGAGCCCAGCUCUGCACCUGGAUGUGCGAGAUCCCCAACAUCAACAUGGGGUACAAGCUCCUGAUGCCAUUAUAAGUGCCUGGGUUGGUUUGGGGCUCAAGGGCAGCAACAUAAAACUGCUGGGUCGGGAGGGGUGAACUCAGUAGAAAUAGAAAGAGAGGGAACAAAGGACUGAUGCCACAGAUUCUGUGAAUCAAGGCCCAGCAGUUCAGAUUCUGUGCCUGUAUUUCUGAGGCCCAGAGGAGCUAGCCAGGCUCCAUCUGGGGCUCCCCUUAUUUGCACUCAGAUUGCCUUUUGAAGAGCUGUCAUCUGCUCCUCCAUCUCCUCCAGCACAGGGCCAGCCCUACGCCCCUAGCCAUCUUCCAAAGCCCCAGGGCCCUGUCUGCAGGAUCUCUCCAGCUGGGGCUGACCCAUCACAGAGCAGCAUAAAGGCCUGGGUCCCAGCUGAGCUCCUACCCUCCGAUUAUCCCAGAUUAGGGAGCCUGUGACCAUCUGGACACAGCUGAUAAUGGCAGAGGGGGAGGGGAGUGGGGUAGAGGCCCAGCCUCAGAGCCUUCCUGCUCCCACCCCAUGCAUAACACCCAGGACAAAGCAAAGGUGCUGUACUGCUUGCUUACCCAGGCGAAAGCCAGAGUGGAAAGGGUAGGGGCAAACCCAGGGCAAGCUCUCCCUGGAGACACGGGCAUCUUACCCAGGCUCAGCACUUCUGUGUAGCCAGACAGAUUGCCCAGUUUCCCCCAUGAUGGCCAUUUGUGCCCCAGUGCUUGCUCAUGCAAAUGCCAAUGCCCUUUCCUGCUCUGUCUGCCUGGGCAGACCUGACACACUCCACCCAAGAGCUGACCACUCCCUCCUUGCACCCCUUCCUUAUCAGCCCUUCUUUCAUCACCUGACAUAUGGCCAGGCCUUUGUGUGACAUCUCAGGUCUCUCCUGACACACCCAUAGGAUGCCUCUUGAGGCAGGAAAGGUGUCACCUUCAUCUCUGGGUCCUCCAGUGACUGGAACAAACCCUUCCACUGAAUACCUUAAAUCAAGGUUUUCUGGAUUUCUAUCUCAUAAUACCUGUGAGGUAGGUACUACCGCUCCCCUCCCCCACUCCCACCUCCGAUUACAAAUGAGUAAACAGACUCAAGAGUUGUGAAAUGACCUGCUAACUAAGGUCACAGGGCUGGUGAGUGGUGGCAGAGCCAGGAUUCCAACUCCGGUCCAGCUAUCUCCAAAGUCUGCUUCCUCCAUGCAGCCUCUGCUAAUCUGAGAAAAUGGUGUGGGGCACAGCAAAGCAGUUGUUUAGAAGUAGGAGAUACAUCAUUUCCACGUGGGAAAUUCCAGCCUGAUAGGAUACUGUCUCUGACCUUCUGGGCUUCCGACUUGAUGAGAGACAUGGUGCUGGUCCCUGGUGAGUGAGGCUCACAGGAACACAAGCAAAAAGUGACAGCCCCGUGUCCUAAUUUCUAGGACUACUGGUUAGACCGAGACUAUAUAUAGAGGAUCCCCCUGGCUCCUAGUCCACUGCUCUCUGGCACCUCAGGCUGCCUGCUAAAUGUGAACUGUUACCAUUCAGUUCAAAGGGAAGCCAGACAAGUCCUUGAUCCCUUAGCCACACAUAGGUUUGCCUUCUUCUCCCCGGCUGAGAACAGAGACAACUCUUGGUAUGCAAUCAGAAAACGAUGAACCCAAAUUUAAUUUUUAAGUUUCUUUUUUGAGUAGAUCUGUUUGUAAAGAUUGAUAUUUUAUGACUGUAAUUCUUUCUUAGUGGGCUUUCAAAGAACAAGGAGAACUUUACUUCUUACAUAAUAGAAUAAAACUUUCUACUUUGUAAUCACUAUAUGGACUUGUUGGAUUCUUUUAUAAAUCUGAAACAUAUCUAUGCUGUAUACGCUACCCACCCAUUAGUAUAGGAAAAAACAUAGUAUAUGUAGAGUUCCCUACUAUCUGCGGUUUUAGGCAUCCCCUGAGGUCUUGGAACGUAUCCGCUGCAAAUAAGGGGGGACUACUGUAUUCAGUUAAGUUGUUCAAGAGGAAAGAUUUCAUCACACAAUUCUUUGUGACAAAAACCUGGACUAUCCCACUUUGCUCAAAGAUAAUGUGACAGUAUGUAUCUUUUAUGAUGCCUAUGCCCCCAAAUUUACUUGGUAGUUGUUACAGUUCAGAGACAAGCUGAAGGCAGUUGUACAUAAAGAUGAGUGGAGAGAAACAGAUGCUGUAGAAAUUUUAAAAAUUCAUUGGAUUGGUCAUUUGAAUUGAGCUUUAUAAAUCUAAAAGUGAAAAUGUUUUAAAAUUAUGAAACAAAGAAAAUGGCUAUCCUCUCUUCAACAAAAUUAUAAGCAACCAAAAUUUUUUUGUUUUUUUUUAAGGUACGCGGGCCUCUCACUGCUGUGGCCUCUCCCGUUGCAGAGCACAGGCUCCGGACGCGCAGGCCCAGUGGCCAUGGCUCACGGGCCCAGCCGCUCCGCGGCAUGUGGGAUCCUCCCGGACCGGGGCACGAACCCGCGUCCCCUGCAUUGGCAGGUGGACUCUCAACCACUGCGCCACCAGGGAAGCCCCAAAAUUUUUUAAGGCACUGCGUGUUGAUAAUCCAAGUGUAAUACAAAACAAAAUCAAAAAAGCCCCAGAAGCUAGAGCUUAUUAGAGAUGUAUUUGAAAUCUGGAAUCAGCAGCUACAAGAUGAAUACCUUCACUUCAUGGCAGUUGAUAAACAUUUCACUGCCUUCAAGUAACAUUGAUCAUUUGGGGUAUAUAUCCUUCUAGACAAUGAAAAUGUGAAGUUGUUUGCUGUUAUAACUCAUAUAUGUAUAUGUAUGUAUAGACAUACAUAUAUAUAUAUAUGACAGCUCUAUUGAGAUACAAUUCACAUACCAUAAAAUUCACCCAUUUGAAGUUUACAAUCCAAUGUUUUUAGUAUAUUCAGUUAUGCUGUUAAUACUUGCUAAAUUUUUAAUAUUUUUGGAUACUUGUUAAAAUUUAUAAUAAAAUUGACUUUCACUAUCCCUUUAUUCUUACUUAAAGUGACUUAAAAUAUAAAAGGGGGAUGUUUAUGGGCCCAGGUGGUAAAUAGUGAUGGCUAUUUUUUCUGGUAUAUUAAGGGUAAAAUCAGUGAGUAAAAGAUCCCAUUUCCUCUGGUCCCCCUCCUGAUGAGAAAGCAGCCCCCCUACAGUACCUAUGCUCUCCCUUCCCCUCCCUCUGUAAAGCAAAUACAUUAUUAAAGGUUAUGGGAG